UAGUACGGCGAGUGAAGAGGGAAGAGCCCAAGAUUGAAAGCUGGCGUCUUCGGCGUCCGCAUUGUAAUCUCAAGAAGUGUUUUCCGCUUCGGACCAUGCCUAAGUCCCUUGGAAAAGGGCAUCAUAGAGGGUGAUAAUCCCGUACAUGGCAUGGAGCGCCCGAAGCUUUGUGAUACGCUUUCUAAGAGUCGAGUUGUUUGGGAAUGCAGCUCAAAAUGGGUGGUAAAUGCCAUCUAAGGCUAAAUAUUGGGGAGAGACCGAUAGCGAACAAGUACAGUGAUGGAAAGAUGAAAAGAACUUUGAAAAGAGAGUUAAACAGUACGUGAAAUUGCCAAAAGGGAAGGGUAGGAGGUCAGAGAUGCGGCCUGGGAUUCAGCCUUGCUUUUGCUUGGUGUUUUUCCCAGAUUGCAGGCCAACGUCGGUUUUGGGCACUGGAGAAGGGUAGGAGGAACGUGGCACCUCUCGGGGUGUGUUAUAGCCUCCUACUGGAUACAGCGACCGAGACCGAGGACAGCAGCGUACUCGCAAGAGCGGGCCUUCGGGCACCUUUACGCUUAGGGCGUUGGCAUAAUGGCCCUCUACCACCCGUCUUGAA
rnacentral:rRNA from 1 species